UGGGUAUUUAUGGUUAUAAAAAGCUCUGCUAAAAAAAAAUCACGUUUUUUAAUGUGUCGAAUCACAUUUCUUGAAAAUAAAAGCAUAGAACAAUGUUCCUGGAAUGGUUUCUCGUAUUGGUUUCACUUCUCAAAAAAUAUUACCUUAAAGGAUGCAGUCUCUGUAUAAAUUUUACUAAUGAAAGUAGUCAACAUCGCAAGUAUCUCUGAUCCUGCUUCAUAUAUAUCCAUAUUAAUCAUAUCCUAUUUCAUAAAUAUCCAUAUUAAAAAAUCAUUUAGAGAACUACUGAUUUAUUCCAUUUUUCUGAAUUUGUUCUGAAAUUGGAAUGACGUAAAGAAAAAAACUCAAUCCCAGUGAAACCGUCGUGCAGAAUUUCAUUAUGAUGUCAUGACCGAUAUUCAAAUGCAUAGCGAACGUCAUAAAUUUCCACACGACGAUUUGCAUAAUGACAGUAUAUACAUAAUCUAAUGACCAAUACCGUUUUCAUUAACCGUACUAUCAUACAUUAUUUAUUAAUCAUCUUGAUCGAUAACAUCAGAAUGCAUAUCUAGUAAUUGAAAAUAUAUAUUUUGAGUUAAAACAACGAUUCUGAUUUUAAUUUGUCCAAAAACAUUCUGAUGAUGUCAUCACUGAUAAUGGACAUCUUUUGGCUAAUCUUCAAUAACGGAGAUUGACAAAUGAUGGAAAGAUAGCUUUGGUAAAUAAGCCAAAUAUAAAAUAUUCUAAAUUAUUUUACAAUAGAUGUUUUAGUCGAUUUUUGAUCAUUUCGACGGAAUUUCGAAUAGCGGCUUUACAGAUGGUUUUUGGAAACUACAGUUCUUAGAUAGAUAGAGUAGCGCACUCAGCCGCCAUUUUAUAUCCUCCUGCCAAUCGAUAAUCACGGAUUUAUCGAUAGUACUGUGGAAAAUAAGCCAUAAUACUAUAUUUCUUUUCUCAUUUAUAAAUACAGCAGUUUCUUACCUGGCAAAAGAAGAUCGUAUUUGGAAAAGUUUUCCUACCAAUAUUUUGUAAUCACUUUUCUUUCUUUCAUUUUUUUACCCUGUGGCAAAGGAAAGAGUCUAUGACCCUUUUCUGUUCGAUUAGAAAAAUUUAAAGCACUACAACAAGAUAUAUUCUUAAAAAAUAACCAGAAAGUCUAUGAACACAAUGAUAACUCUAUCUAACAGGAUAUAAAAUGGAUGACUUGGCGACAUCUGGUGCGCAAAGGAAUGCACUACUCUAUUUAUCUAGGGACUCUAUUGGAAACUAAAACAUGGCGCAAUAACUUUCUUUAGAUACAACAUACAAAAUAUAAUUUUGAAAUUGGAUUCAAAAUCAUUUUUAAAAUGCAAUAAUGAAUCGCUUUAAAUUAUAAGACCGCACAUAAAAAAUCUGGCUUCUCUACUAAUCAUAGAAAAGUUCAAAAUAGAAAAAGAGAAGGUGAUAUAAAAACAUGUCCUUAUGUUAUAUUUUUCUUCUUGAAUGCAAAACAAUACAAUAUUCGGUACCAUUACCCUAAAUAGUGUUUCCGGGCGAGAAUUCCUUCCCACCCGUACUCGGAAAAUUUUUUCAUUUUCCUGUUUCCGAAUUCCGAGAAAAGUUGGUCAAGAAAUCGGGAAAAUCGGCUCCUACAACCCAGUAAUGCCCACAAUAGGAAAUAAACCGCACUACUCACAAUAUAUCUUUUAGAUAUUUUUCCUGUUUAUCGUUAUCUAAAGUUACAUUAUGUUACAGAAUUACAUGCCAUUAGAAAUGUACGAUCGACAUCAGAAUCAGAUAACAUAUGACCAGCUAAUUUUAGCUGUUGUAAAUCGAGCACAUCUGAUCUUGGAAGAACAAAAAAAUAUUUAUUUUCAC
rnacentral:lncRNA from 1 species